CUGAUAGGAUAGGUGGUGGUAGCUUCACCUUGUCCCCUGAUAGGAUAGGUGGUAGCUUCACCUUGUCCCCUGAUAGGAUAGGUGGUGGUAGCUUCACCUUGUCCCCUGACAGGAUAGGUGGUAGCUUCACCUUGUCCCCUGAUAGGAUAGGUGGUGGUAGCUUCACCUUGUCCCCUGAUAGGAUAGGUGGUGGUAGCUUCACCUUGUCCCCUGAUAGGAUAGGUGGUAGCUUCACCUUGUCCCCUGAUAGGAUAGGUGGUGGUAGCUUCACCUUGUCCCCUGAUAGGAUAGGUGGUGGUAGCUUCACCUUGUCCCCUGAUAGGAUAGG